UACGUAGGGUGCAAGCGUUGUCCGGAAUCACUGGGCGUAAAGCGCGCGCAGGCGGCGAUCUACGUCUGGGGUGAAAGCCCGGAGCUCAACUCCGGGACUGCCUUGGAUACGGGAUCGCUUGAGGAUUGGAGAGGCAAGGGGAAUUCCACGUGUAGCGGUGAAAUGCGUAGAUAUGUGGAGGAACACCUGUGGCGAAGGCGCCUUGCUGGCCAAUUUCUGACGCUGAGGCGCGAAAGCGUGGGGAGCAAACAGG
rnacentral:rRNA from 1 species